rnacentral:rRNA from 1 species
AACGCUAGCUACAGGCUUAACACAUGCAAGUCGAGGGGCAUCAGGGUAGCAAUACCGCUGGCGACCGGCGCACGGGUGAGUAACACGUAUCCAACCUACCGUUAACUCGGGGAUAGCCUUUCGAAAGAAAGAUUAAUACCCAAUAGUAUAUUUUCUUCGCAUGUUGAAAAUAUUAAAGAAUUUCGGUUAUCGAUGGGGAUGCGUUCCAUUAGGCAGUUGGCGGGGUAACGGCCCACCAAACCUACGAUGGAUAGGGGUUCUGAGAGGAAGGUCCCCCACAUUGGAACUGAGACACGGUCCAAACUCCUACGGGAGGUAGCAGUGAGGAAUAUUGGUCAAUGGACGAAGGUCUGAACCAGCCAAGUAGCGUGAAGGAUGACUGCCCUAUGGGUUGUAAACUUCUUUUAUAUGGGAAUAAAGUUCUCCACGUGUGGAGUUUUGUAUGUACCAUUAUGAAUAAGCAUCGGCUAACUCCGUGCCAGCAGCCGCGGUAAUACGGAGGAUGCGAGCGUUAUCCGGAUUUAUUGGGUUUAAAGGGAGCGUAGGUGGACUGGUAAGUCAGUUGUGAAAGUUUGCGGCUCAACCGUAAAAUUGCAGUUGAUACUGUCAGUCUUGAGUACAGUAGAGGUGGGCGGAAUUCGUGGUGUAGCGGUGAAAUGCUUAGAUAUCACGAAGAACUCCGAUUG